CUGGAUUCGUCUCAUAUGAUGCUCACAUCACUCUUUUGUGAGCAAAAAGGGCUUACUUUUGUCUCCGUACACGACUGUUUUUGGACUCAUGCGUGCACUGUGCCUGAAAUGAAUAAAAUUUGCCGAGAGCAAUUUGUAUCUUUACACUCGCAACCUAUCAUUGAAAAUUUGUCUGCAUUUAUGAGAACUAAAUACAGUAUCAAAGAAUCGGAUAUGGUAAACGAUGGCUCAGCUGAUUACCUCUUAAAGCGCCGGCUUAAUCGAACCUUGGGAGAGAUGCCGAAAAAAAGGACACUUUGAUUUACGAAAUGUAUUAAAUUCGGUAUACUUUUUUUAGUUAAGUUCUAAAUCUUAUCUUGUCCCCUCGCAAUCUGCAUUGGAUAUUAAGAAUAAUAUAAAAGCAAUCGGAAAGGGUUUUCUAUACUUGCUAAAAUAAUUUUGUGUUAUGAACAUUGAAUGCAUGUGUGAUUGCGUUUUUUAUCGUAAAUAUUAUAUGAACGAAAAUGUGCAAGCAAAUAAAUACUGUAACUCCUUGAGUCUUAUGAA